UACGUAGGUGGCAAGCGUUGUCCGGAUUUAUUGAGUUUAAAGGGUGCGUAGGCGGUCUAUUAAGUCAGUGGUGAAAUACUCCAGCUUAACUGGAGGGGUGCCAUUGAUACUGAUGGACUUGAGUCAAGUCGAGGUAGGCGGAAUUGACGGUGUAGCGGUGAAAUGCUUAGAUAUCGUCAAGAACACCAAUAGUGAAGACAGCUUACUGGGCUUAAACUGACGCUGAGGCACGAAAGUGUGGGGAUCAAACAGG
rnacentral:rRNA from 1 species